rnacentral:lncRNA from 1 species
AUAAGGGCAGCUGGGCUUUUGGAGUGAUUGUGGCUCCUAGUAGAGAUGUAAGCACCAAAUUAGACAGAGGCACUACAGCUGAUCCAAGAGACAAAAGGUUUUAAUAAGAGCAUAUCUUAUUCUUUUCUGGGAGUUUGUUCGACAGGCAUAUUUGCAAAAAAAAAAUAGUAAGAAUAUGUAUGUUUUUCUUUUGUUGUUUGUGUCUUCCUCAAUCUACAGAGAGUUUUCCAUUUCCAUUUACAGCAACAUUACUAUAUCAGCUCCA